GGGCCCGCACAAGCAGCGGAGCAUGUGGUUUAAUUCGAAGCAACGCGAAGAACCUUACCUAGACUUGACAUCUCCUGAAUAGCGUAGAGAUACGUGAAGCCCUUCGGGGCAGGAAGACAGGUGGUGCAUGGUUGUCGUCAGCUCGUGUCGUGAGACGUUGGGUUAAGUCCCGCAACGAGCGCAACCCUUAUCAUUAGUUGCUACCAUUAAGUUGAGCACUCUAGUGAGACUGCCCGGGUUAACCGGGAGGAAGGCGGGGAUGACGUCAAAUCAUCAUGCCCCUUAUGUCUAGGGCUACACACGUGCUACAAUGGUGAGAACAACGAGAUGCAAUACCGCGAGGUGGAGCCAAACUUGAAAACUCAUCCCAGUUCGGAUUGUAGGCUGAAAUUCGCCUACAUGAAGUUGGAGUUGCUAGUAAUCGCGAAUCAGAAUGUCGCGGUGAAUACGUUCCCGGGCCUUGUACACACCGCCCGUCACACCAUGAGAGCUGGUAACACCCGAAGUCCGUGAGGUAACCUUUAUGGAGCCAGCGGCCGAAGGUGGGAUUAGUGAUUGGGGUGAAGUCGUAACAAGGUAGCCGUAGGAGAACCUGCGGCUGGAUCAC
rnacentral:rRNA from 1 species